UUAUAAGAAGCAAUUUGCGUUUAAUUUCGACUUAAAAACUAGAGUAUCUACUCCUUAUUUA
rnacentral:tRNA from 1 species